rnacentral:tRNA from 1 species
GCCUAAUGGAUAAGGCAUCAACCUCUGGAGCUGGGGAUUGUGGGUUCGAGUCCCAU